AAGGGGACGUGCACAAUUAUUUUAUCACAAAGACACAGUUAUGAUAUUAUAUGAACCACAAACAAUCAUAAAUGCCCCAUUACAUGAAAAUAAAAGAAAUGAUACUUAAUAUAACCCCAGCUGGGCUACACUAAUGUUUCGGGAAUUGUGCGAGUUCCUGUACCGUGUCAGUACGCCCACAAACUGGCCUUCCUGGUCGGUCAGAGCAUCCACAAAGAGCCCAACGUCAACCUGGACGACUUGCUUUACUAUUUGUAAAAGGUGUUCUGUGUUGAUCAAGAGAAGAAUUCUUAAGAAUUUAUUUGCAAUUUGCAAAAUUUGUUGUAGGUUAAAAGUAAAAUGCAGUCUUCGAGACUGAAGCUUGUUUGUUUCAAGAACAAUUUUGCGUUCCUAACUUGUUUUUUCUUGUACUAAAAUAAAAGCCCUUUGCCUGUU